rnacentral:rRNA from 1 species
UGAAACCGUUCGGGGGUAAACGGACAGAGCCCGUGAAUCCGGGCGGUGGAAUUCAGGACCGACGGUCGGACCUUCGGGUUCGGUCGUCGAUUCGAUAUUUCCGUUGCCGACCCUCAACCGAGGGUGUCGGACGUCGCGACCCGUUCGCCGCCGAUGCUGAGGAGCGCGUUUCAAGUUCGCCUGCGCGACCGUUUCGGCGAUCGCGCGACGAUGACGCGCCUCCGCUGUCCAUCGGUGCGGACGGUAGCUUUGCGCGCGGGUAUUCGACGCGGUCCUUCGUCCGGCGUCUCCGUACGUCGGACGGCGCUCGCGUCGACGCCGGUCAGCGACGAAUCUUCGGGCCU